CUUAUUUGUUCUCUUUAUUAAAGAUGUUCUUUAUAUGAUUUAACUUAGGUUUUUAUUAGUUAAGAGAUGUUUCUCUACCUACAAACUGAGAAAGACUACCAAACCUGUUAUUUCAGCAGAAUGUAUACGGUACUGAAUGUAUUACCAUUGCUAUUUUCACCUGUCUCAGAUUGUCAGUGAGACCCUGAAAUUUUUAUCGAUGUAAAGUUGUGUUUCGUCGGAUCUAUUAUAAGUUUAUUAUAAUUGGAAGUCGAAAGAAAUGAAAUUCCUUGCACAUUAUCUGAUGACAAUUAUUGCAGCUAAAAAUGUAAUAAAUUAUCUAAUAAAACAUCCUAUCAGCAAUUUCAACCAAGAUUUAUAUCGGAU